GAGUCUUAAUAGGGCGACUAGUAACAUGGUGUAGACCCGAAACCGCAGUGAUCUAUCCAUGGUCAGGUUGAAGCGCAGGUAAAAAUGCGUGGAGGACCGAACCCGUGAGUGUUGAAAAACUUUGGGAUGAACCGUGGAUAGGGGUGAAAUGCCAAUCGAACGCGGAGAUAGCUGGUUCUCCCCGAAAUAGCUUUAGGGCUAGCCUCAGGGAAGAUUAUAGACGGUAGAGCACUGAUCUGGCAAGGGGGCGUAAAGCCUACCGACCCUAGUCAAACUUCGAAUGGCUAUAAUUAAGACCCUGGGAGUCAGACUGCGAGUGAUAAGACCCGUAGUCAAGAGGGAAACAGCCCAGACCGCCGACUAAGGUCCCCAAUGCUGUACUAAGUGGAAAAGGAUGUAAGACUUCAUAAACAACCAGGAUGUUGGCUUAGAAGCAGCCACCAUUAAAAGAGUGCGUAAUAGCUCACUGGUCGAGAGGCCUUGCGCCGAAGAUGUCCGGGGCUCAAGUACAGAACCGAAGUCGCGGCAGGAUUAUAUAAUUCUGGGUAGGGGAGCGUUGUAUAUCCGACUGAAGGUGUACCGGAAGGAGCGCUGGAGGAUAUACAAGAGAGAAUGCCGGUAUGAGUAGCGAAAAGAACAGUGAGAAUCUGUUCCACCGAAAGCCUAAGGUUUCCUGAGCAACGCUCGUCGACUCAGGGUAAGUCGGGACCUAAGCCGAGGCAAAAAGCAUAGGCGAUGGACAACAGGUUAAUAUUCCUGUACCGCUUCAAAUCGUUUGAGCAAUGGAGUGACACAGAAGGUAGCUUGAGCACGCGAAUGGAUGUGCGUGUCGAAGGUGGUAGGUUGCAGUAUAGGUAAAUCCGUACUGUAUAAGACCGAGAACUGAUAGAUAGACGAUACUUCGGUAAAGUCAAAUUCAAGUGAGCCAUGCUGUCGAGAAAAGCUUCUAGUGAGAGAUGAGGCGCCCGUACCGAAACCGACACAGGUAGGCGGGGAGAGAAUCCUAAGGUGCGCGGGACAACCCUCGUUAAGGAACUCGGCAAAUUGUAUCCGUAACUUAGGGAUAAGGAUAGCCGGAGGAUGUGAAGGGAUUUACUUCUGGAGCAUCAGCCGGUGGCACAAGAGAGGCCCAAGCGACUGUUUAGCACAAACACAGGUGCCUGCAAAAGAGAAAUCUGACGUAUAGGUGCUGACACCUGCCCGGUGCUGGAAGGUUAAGAGGAGGGCUUAGAGGAAACUCGAAGGCUUGAAUUGAAGCCCCAGUAAACGGCGGCCGUAACUAUAACGGUCCUAAGGUAGCGAAAUUCCUUGUCGGGU
rnacentral:rRNA from 1 species